GGAUAGUCACCAUGGUAACACCUCAUUACAAUGAACCUGGAAAAUAUAAAGGGAGAAAAAGUGGUACACAUACUCACCAUUUGAAGGAUAAUUAAAAAGCGCUCACACUUUCCUGCUAAUUGUUCUGAAGGAGUCAUAGGGUCAAUGGAAGCUCUUCAACAGGUUUUUAGUGCGACCUCCACAGCAAUCUUCUGUGCAUACUGGACAAUUACAUACAAGAGAAAUGCAAGCAUCUCGCUUGUUCCACUUGUCUAAGUGACGAAGGUCUCUGCUGGGACAGUAAGUCAUUUAACAAAGAAAAAGAAAGAAAAAUCCGGCCUGGGAUUUCUCGAAGAGCUCAAGAAAAACGAAUCACUCUAGAAGCUGAACGGAAAAGCGGUUUGGAUCUGUUGGGGAGUGUGAUACACUGAGGGCUGCCGACGACAUUGUUCCAGUGAGUUCUCAAGACUCCUAAAGGAAACUAGCAAGUUGCUGAAGGCUGUCUUGUACAACUAAUGAGCUCAAAAAGCAGGUUUAAACCAGGAGAAUGGGAUCAACCAAUUCUCGCCCAAAGAUCUGCCAGGUGGCUCCUUCACAUGUAGAGAUUGAUGGAAAUCUGAAGCCCAGCUAUCCGAAUUCUGAAUGGAUGCUUUCACCAAUGGACCGUACACAUGAGCAACUGCAAGAGGUUCUGGGACCACAAAGGAAUACAAAGCUACCCCCUCUGAGACAAGAUGUUCUGCUGCAUUCAAAUUUACAUGCUUCAGGUGCUCUACCUCUGGUGUCUACUGAUAUAAAGAGCCAAAGCAUCAUUCAUUCACACCCUCCACUGAGAGCCCAGGCCUGGCAGCCACUGAUUUCACCCACUGGACAGAAAGAUGCUUCGAGCCAUAAACCAACGAGCAGCUCGACAGGGUUCCUGGAGGCGCAGGCGAUGCUCAGUCACCAGGCUAAGAAGAAGCGCCGAGGCCACCACCAGCGCUACAGGGAGCGGCGCGGCAUGCAGAGAGCGUCCGAGAUCAUGGGUCAUGAAGGACAGGAAAUCCAGAAGCUUUCCCUGGUUUCUAGGCCCACAAAACGAGACAUAUUCUGGGAUGAGACAACAGGAAAGACCUUGGACAUCCGAGAACUUCUUCAGCCAUCUCCCGUGUCUUCUGGGCCAGAAUGGGAUGACUAUCAAACACAAUCUCAGCCUAAAGACAGAAGAAAUGUUGAUGAUUUCCUGGGGAAUCAGAAGCAAAUACCAAACGAUUCAGGUGACCAUGAGACCAACAGCACAGAACACAAAGCCACACCAUGGAACCCUAAGACAACCUUGCCCUGGAUGCAGGACUGGAGGGUGCAGGGACAGAAUAAGACACCUGCAGGAAAUGAUAUAGAUAGUGCUGAUGUAUGGAACUGGGAUGUGUGGCAGGGUACACAAUCAAGGAGAAAAGAAUGGAAACAGACAGAGCAGGAGUUCGGAACUAGGAUUUGGGGUUCCCAACAGGGAAAGUGA
ensembl:lncRNA uncharacterized LOC114788457